UGGUCGCUUAACUGGGCCGCGAUCCAGUUGGCCUUGCCCCGUCUCUCACUGUCGAAUAAACGGUUCUCGCUAAUUUAACCCGCAGUUAUUUUUCUUCGUCAACCCUCUGUGCAUGUUUGGCUUUAGAUCGAGCGGCGGCGCUCCCGAAGUCCCGAUCCAAUCGGGACAUGUAGGACGACGGCGGCAGGGCUCCGGAAAGUGGGGAACGACGGGGAGGCGGGGAGGCGGCGGACGUCGCGGCGAGGCGGAUCAGAUCAGGAUCCAGCACGGCGGCCGGCGCUCCAUGGCCGUGGCGCCUCGGUCUCGUGGGAAGAAGAGACGUGGGAGAGAGAGGAGGUGAGAUGGGGAGAAGAGAAGGCAGAGUAAGGACGGCGCGGAUUCCGACGGUGGCUCCGGUCGGCGGAUCCAGGCCAACUCUUGAUGGAUUUCCAAUGUGCUGCUGGCCUCCGAAUUUUUUUUGUCGUGUAGCCGCUCCCCAUCUCAGCGUGUGCUAUCCACGGAAGCCGGCUCCUCCACUCAGGCCCUCUUCUGCAACGCCGACGAGGACGCUAAUUCGUUUGAACCGAUCUUCACGACCACGUGCAGAUGGAAUUUUUUUCAUAUGACAUCAGGGAUGUAGGAUGAUUGGGUGAACAAGCUUCAUGUGAAACAUCCAGAUCCCGGUGGCGGUGCCUCCGUUCAGCAUCCCAUGCGGCGACGUCCUCCGGUAUAAUGGCAAACACCGGUAGGGGAGAGAGCAGAGCGGGAGGGGUAUUGGGUCCAUACCAUUGUGGGCAUUGCCAGUGCCAUGAUUGUGGUUAAUACCCACAGGAGAUUCUAUUCCUGUGAGCGGAUUAAACAGAGUUGAGUAAACAUCAUCCAUAGGAGAUACAUGUGCUAAUUAAGUUUAGAGGAGAAAGUGGUUCUUUAUUCUUGUAAUUUUGGUGCAGAUGUCAUACAGGGGGCAGAGAACAAUAGUCUUUUGGGAAUGCCUGUUAACUUUUUGGAGCUACCAGGUAAAUUUUGGUAUGAAUUUAUGUUAGUUCUACCUUUCCAUGAUGUUUAAUUGUUCGGUUCUUAAGGGUUUGUAAGAGGAGAUGGAUUUUGACUACUCUAUUUCGGAAGCCACGGAUCUGCAGAUGAAAAAUAAAAGAGUGUGCAUGGUGUUUUUUUUCUUACAGAAUACUUUUAUAUGCCAUGUUGUAUUUUGCUUCAGGUUUAGGACUAUUUGGUCUGCUACAAAAUCCAUGUUUUCAACUGCAAAAUUUUAGUUUUAUUAUUAUUAUCAUAUUUACUAUUUUUUGGUAGUAAUAUAUAACACGGCGCUGGUGAAAAGCCUACUAAAAAGAUUAAUUAGUCAAUAAUGUUGUCUUAAGAACAGUAGUAUUUGGCUUGAAGUAUAGGCACUGUCAAUUUUUUUUAUGUUCACCACUAUUGCCAUGCGCUCCUAUUUGUUGGUUUUUCCUAUGGCAGUUUGGAGCAAGUGAUUGGCCUAUAAACUAAUUAAUAUUCAAGCUUUCUGAGAAUUUUUUUACUACGAGAUAAGUAGAUUAUCAUUUAACCCACAGCGAAGAUAAAGUAGAUUAUGGUGACCGAGCUGAGCACACGCUGAUUUAGUGCUUCGACCCUUCAUGUUUAUGAUUCACUAAUUCUGGUCCUUCCAUUACUAUUGAACUAAAUUCAAAGUUGUUGCUAUGUCAAUUCGGUUGCCUGCUUGCCAUAGUUUA